UCCCUGGUGGUCCAGUGGCUAAGACUCUGAAUUCCCAAUGCAGAGGAUCCAGGUUUGUUCCCUGGUCAAGGAA
rnacentral:tRNA from 1 species